CAGCAGCCGCGGUAAAACGAGGGGGGCAAGCGUUGUUCGGAAUUAUUGGGCGUAAAGGGUGCGUAGGCGGUUUGGCAAGUCUUGUGUGAAAUCUUCGGGCUCAACCCGAAGCCUGCACGAGAAACUGCCGGGCUUGAGUAUUGGAGAGGUGAGUGGAAUUUCCGGUGUAGCGGUGAAAUGCGCAGAUAUCGGAAGGAACACCUGUGGCGAAAGCGGCUCACUGGACAAUAACUGACGCUGAUGCACGAAAGCUAGGGGAGCAAACAGGAUUAGAUACCCCCGUAGUCCCUGUCUCUUAUAU
rnacentral:rRNA from 1 species